GACGAACGCUGGCGGCGUGCUUAACACAUGCAAGUCGAACGGAAAGGCCUCUUUCGGGGGGUACUCGAGUGGCGAACGGGUGAGUAACACGUGAGUAACCUGCCCUUAACUUUGGGAUAACUUCAGGAAACUGGGGCUAAUACCGGAUAGGAGCUCCUGCUGCAUGGUGGGGGUUGGAAAGUUUCGGCGGUUGGGGAUGGGCUCGCGGCUUAUCAGCUUGUUGGUGGGGUAGUGGCUUACCAAGGCUUUGACGGGUAGCCGGCCUGAGAGGGUGACCGGCCACAUUGGGACUGAGAUACGGCCCAGACUCCUACGGGAGGCAGCAGUGGGGAAUAUUGAACAAGGGGUGGAAGCCUGAUGCAGCAACGCCGUGUGCGGGAUGACGGCCUUCGGGUUGUAAACCGCUUUCGCUCAUGACGAAGCUUUGUGUGACGGUAGUGGGUAAAGAAGCACCGGCUAACUACGUG
rnacentral:rRNA from 1 species